rnacentral:rRNA from 1 species
UACAGAGGUCUCAAGCGUUGUUCGGAUUCAUUGGGCGUAAAGGGUGCGUAGGUGGCGAGGUUAGUCAGGUGUGAAAUCUCGGGGCUCAACCCCGAAACUGCACUUGAUACUGCCUUGCUAGAGUACUGGAGAGGAGAUUGGAAUUUACGGUGUAGCAGUGAAAUGCGUAGAUAUCGUAAGGAAGACCAGUGGCGAAGGCGAAUCUCUGGACAGUUACUGACACUGAGGCACGAAGGCCAGGGGAGCAAACAGG